AGCGGCGGACGGGUGAGUAACGCGUGGGUAACCUGCCUCAUACAGGGGGAUAGCAGUUAGAAAUGACUGCUAAUACCGCAUAAGACCACGGUACCGCAUGGUACAGUGGUAAAAACUCCGGUGGUAUGAGAUGGACCCGCGUCUGAUUAGGUAGUUGGUGGGGUAACGGCCUACCAAGCCGACGAUCAGUAGCCGACCUGAGAGGGUGACCGGCCACAUUGGGACUGAGACAUGGCCCAG
rnacentral:rRNA from 1 species